UUUGACAUAGAACUUUUUUUUUGUUGGGAGAAUUAGGGGUAUAAGCUCUACCGCGUACCGCCCUAUCAACACAAAAUUCUGUCAAAAUUUUACCCCAAACAAACUUCUGACUUCGACUUUCCAACACAUUUUCUCUUUUUUAAGAGACUUGGUAGCUUGAACCUCUUACAACACUACUUAAGAGUCUCUCUACCUAGGACUCAAACCUUUGACCCCAUCACAUCCCAUCGGAUGUCUAAGACAUUAGUGAUUUGAUGACUUAUCAACACCCUCGAGAACUUAAAUGUAAUACACUGAACUUUUGCAACUUGCGGAGUUCGAGUGUGUCGAAUGAAGUGUGGUGCUAUCCUACAUAUUCUAAAAAGCUUGGACAAGUUUUUGGACAAGUUAGAGGGUGACUGGAAAGCUAAAAGCAAGAAAGUGCAUUGAUCUGGUGAAUUCAGUAGUUUUCUGCUUGGUGUACCGGUACAGCCAUUAUGAUGUACCGGUACACAUGGUAAAACGUGGCAGCAAGGGUCUUUUGAUCAUUUCACAUCUUGAUCCUAUCUAGUUGGCCCCAGCUCGACUUCUGGGGCUCAGGGGAUGUAGCUGGAGCUCAGAGCAAGCUUCCUUCAUCUUCUUCUCUCUCUCUCUCUCUAGGAUUUUUCUCUCUCUACAUAAAAGUCGCCGUUUUGCGCCGUUUUCGCGCCGCGCUCGUUGCUCGCUGAUUGGAGGACUCAAGGGAAGUCUUUGGAACGUGGGGAGAGGGAAUUUUGCUGAGUUUUCUGUGAGGUUACUACCUGAGAAGCUGGUUGAAAGCUUGAGAGAGGUAAUUAACUUGAUUUUCUCUCUAGUUUAUGAUUUAGUGUCGACUCUUGAGCCGUUUUGGUAUUGUUGCUUCUAACUGAAUUAGAAGGUGUUUACAGCAGUAAAGAAGGGUUAUUUUGGCUACUAAUUAUCCAUCUAAACUCAGAGAUAUGUUGCUUUAAAGCUUAUUAAGGAUAAUUAGUGAGUUCUAACUCAAUUUCGGAACUAUACGCGGUUUAAUCGGGUAAUUGACGCAGUUUCGUAUGAUCUCUUCGCAGCAGGUCUUUGAGCCUCUUUGAGCUGAACUUGUACUCUUAGAAGCUGGUUUGGAAGCUGUUCUAACUAAGGGUAAGCAGGAAUUUCUGUUAGAAAUUCAAUUUCGCAAGAAUUGAACUAUAUAAGCUCAUAUAUAAGCAUCCUGACGCCGUUUUGGUAUUGUUCGUAGCGAGAGGAUAUUUGACCUUUGGGCCGUCUUCGUUUGGCAUUGGAGGGCCUUCCGGAAGCUUAACGUGAGGUAAUGAACUGAGCCAAAACAGGAAAUUAAGCUUCCACUUCGUAUUAAUUGAGAAUUUACCGAAAUUGACUUCUUAUGUAAUCGCUUCGAUGCGCAUUUCGUGCUUCGUUUGCAGCAGGGCUGAGGCCUAGUGGAGUUGAUUUCGGGACCCUUGUAUUCUGAUUUGGAACCUAGUACGAGGUGGGUUUGACCUAAUCAGAGCAAGUGAAGCUCCCCUAUGUUCUAUAUGUAUGGAAUUGAUAUAGUUGGGCGAUAUUGGCACAAUAUGGUUGUUUGGAACUUCUUUGCCAUAACAUUGAAUAGAACCUCUAUGAAGUAGAGAGAAUUCAUGCAUAAUUGUACUUAUGCUUAUGUUUAUGUUUAUCUUUAGUUAAGUUAAAUAACUUUGUCAUGUGACUAUGUUGAUAGUGCCAUGAUAGUGGAAAGAUUCUAAUGCCAUAUAUUAACUAGCAUUACUCUCACAUGUUUGUUAAUCUAGUGGAUACUAGUUGUUGUCAAUAUUGGUUAUAUUGAAAUUCCGAUCAAAGGAUCGAGAGCGAGAAUAUUGUGAGCUAAAUUGUGAUAGUUGAGACAUGUUGGAUUGUGGACCUUGCUUGCUUGCCAUCGUGCUCAUUUGCACAUGCUUGUGAGGGUAGCUCCCUACAAGCCGGCACUCCGGAGUUGGCCUACGCGACAGUUGCUCGCCCGUGCGGGAUUGGGUGCCGAAGUGGAUUGCCGUGGAGAGUGUACACUACCACGGGGCCAUUAGGCGCGGCGCAAGCUGGACUACCUUGAGUAGAUCCCUGUGAAUGAAAGGAAAGUGCUAAAGAAAAUUGGACAGUAAUGAAUGAUUACCUGUUACAGUGUACAGUAGUUACUUACACAUUUAUACUUAUGUUCAUGCUUAUAGUAGUUGCUACGCUUCUAUUAUUCAGUUGAUUCAUUACUGUUGAGACUAUGAUUAUAUGUUGCUUACAUGCUCAUUACCUGUUAGCAUUGCAUAAUUAUAUAUAUCAUGUAAUUACUGCUUUUACUUUCAUUCAGUACAUCAUGAGCCUAGUGGUGUAAUUCGCCGAGGCUGGCGGCUUACCCACUGGGAACUAUUGUUUAUAGUUCUCACGCCCUUUUGGUGGUUGUUUUUACAGAGCCUUCUACAGGAGAGGUUAGGGAUCGUGGCAAGGGAGUCGCGUCUAGCUAGACAUUGCUAGGAGCAUGCUAGUCGAUCACCUUGCUACUCAGGCUACAGCCGAGGGUGAUAUCCCUAUGUAUAGAGAGACUACCAUUGUAUCUACUUUUGUAUACCCGUGAUGUAUAUGUACUAUUGGGACCAGACUCUAUAGUUGUGAUACUUUCUCUUUUAGUUGAGAUUUUGGUCUGUACACUCUUUGUUCUUUAUUUGAUACAUAUUUCGACUUGUACAUUGCUCUGAUAUCAGGAUAGGAUUUUCCUUGUUCUACUUCCUAUCGACUUGCUUCUUGUAGACGCCUUAUAUACUGCAGGUGUAUGGCGGGUCUGUGCACGUGCCGGAUAUGCUUCCGCUGGUAUCCGGGCGUGACAUUAAACUAUAUUACACAUUACCACCUUUAGUUUAAACUUAAGAUGCCAUUAUAAAAUUUCAAUAAUUUUCGUAUCAUGUGACUGAAAACAGUUACAACAUUUGACACAGAUAUCAA
rnacentral:lncRNA from 1 species